GGGCAACAGAGCAAGACUCCAUCUCGAAAAAAUAUAUAUCUAUAUAUCCUUACUUAAAUAGCCCAACACUCAAUAGGUCUUCACCUAUUGAUCCAAAAUAAUACUAAUAGCUGCCACUUACUGAGUUCCCUAUUAGGAAUCAAGUACCAUUACAUUUCACGUAGUCCUCAUAACUGCCUUAUGAGGUAAAUACUAAAUCCCCUUUUUAUAGGGGAGGUGAUUGAGGCUCAAAGGAGGUAAGCCACUUGCUCAAAGCUACCCAGCAUGCCAGUGGAAAAGCCCCUAUUGGACCAGGAUCUUUGGCUCCCAAGCCUCUGGCCUUGACCACUCUGCUGUAAACAGUGGGCUGGAAGGUAUCUGGGUUCAUGGUUCUUUGGGAAUACAAAUCUGCAUAUUCAGAGACAACUGGAAAUGAGCCUCCUUCAGUGCAAACUAUUUGGCUUCAACUAGUAGCACUUAGUUUGUUCAGUUACCUAAAAGGUAAUAUGCUGAAUUCUUCCAAAAGGAAAAUCAAUCAAGACUCUUCUAUUUGGAUGUUUACAUUCAAAUGGACAGACUGGGAAGGACAUGCAAAUUUAAUCUGCUCAUAUGACAGAUUCCCUGUGGCGGGAAAGCAGAUGUGGAUGUCCUCUAUAGGUGGGCCAGCCUCUUUGUUCAGGAGACCUGGGUUCUUGGGCCCUCAGGAUACUGAGCAAUUAGCCCUGAUUUAGUAGGUCUAACUGAAGUCUGAAGAAGAAAGGAGUAUCCCUUGGACUGUAAGUACUUUUCUACAAUCCCUGCUGUGGGGCUUAAGGAUCCAAGUAGGUUCUGAGUACUCCCCUACAUGCCCCAUGGGAAGGCAGUAAGACAUCAGUCCUCUCCCUGGCCUAGCUGCUCAUUACACCAUGACCUCUCUUGCCUACUCCAGCUCCGAAGCCUGGUGGAGGAACCCUUGCUGGGGGCUGGCUCAACGAGAACAACAUCAUAACAGAGUCAGAGGAAGAUGAAGCCCAGAGACACGAUGUGACCUGUGUGGAGAUGUGGAGUGAGGCAGCCGUGAAGCUGCAGUGCCUUACCUCAGAGCCUGGGGGCACUGGACCUGUACCUUCCCCCUGCCCUUGUCUCGGAAGAAACUCUCCAGGUCCUCCUCAUCUUCAGAGAGGUUUUCAUCACUCUCUGGGUCAGACUGAAAGAGAGACUCCAACAGACACGGUCUGCCUUUCUGCUUCAGUACCUGUAAGGUCUGGUAAAAGCUCCCAGUUGAGUCAGAAGUAGAAUCUAUCUCCUCCUCUGGGCUGAGGAACUCGUCAAGUUUGCUGGCCCUGGGCAAAACCAGCCCAUCCCCAGACAGCUCCUCUCCUGCCUCUGUGUCUGGGGAGGAUUUGGGGGAAAAUACCUACAAUAGAAUAGAAAUAGACUGUGAGUGAAACAAUAAUUUCAAAGGUAUUCAAAUCAUAACUUAAUUUCACUUUGAACAAGCCUCUGUAUAUUAGGGACUGGGGAGAAUUUGGGGUCUGCCAGGUGCGCUGGCUCAUCCCUGUAAUCCCAAUACUUGGGGAGGAAUUUUUUAAAAUAAGAUGUGUUUCUUGCUCUAAAGACAUUUCACAA